rnacentral:rRNA from 1 species
ACCAGAGAUUCAGUGAAAUUGUAGUGGAGGUGAAAAUUCCUCCUACCCGCGGCAAGACGGAAAGACCCCGUGGACCUUUACUACAACUUAGCACUGCUAACGGGAAUAUCAUGCGCAGGAUAGGUGGGAGGCUUUGAGGUAAGGGCUUUGGCUCUUAUGGAGCCAUCCUUGAGAUACCACCCUUGAUGUUUCUGUUAGCUA